AAAAUCCGCCAAGCUUAGAUGAGAGGUGAUAACGAGGAAGCUUGCUUCCGAAGUGAGUGAUACCAUGCUUCCAGGAAAAGCCACUAAGCUUCAGCUACACACGACCGUACCGCAAACCGACACUGGUGCGCGAGAUGAGUAUUCUAAGGCGCUUGAGAGAACUCUGGAGAAGGAACUCGGCAAAUUGACACCGUAACUUCGGAAGAAGGUGUGCCCCCGGUAGGUGAAGUCGUACAGACGGAGCCCAAAGGGGUCGCAGAGAAUAGGUGGCUGCGACUGUUUAUUAAAAACACAGCACUCUGCAAAGACGAAAGUCGACGUAUAGGGUGUGACGCCUGCCCGGUGCUGGAAGAUUAAAUGAUGGGGUGCAAGCUCUUGAUUGAAGUCCCAGUAAACGGCGGCCGUAACUAUAACGGUCCUAAGGUAGCGAAAUUCCUUGUCGGGUAAGUUCCGACCUGCACGAAUGGCGUAACGAUGGCCACGCUGUCUCCUCCAGAGACUCAGCGAAGUUGAAAUGUUUGUGAUGAUGCAAUCUCCCCGCGGAAAGACGGAAAGACCCCAUGAACCUUUACUGUAGCUUUACAUUGGACUUUGAACAGGCCUGUGUAGGAUAGGUGGGAGGCUUUGAAGCGGUGCCGCUAGGUGUCGUGGAGCCAACGUUGAAAUACCACCCUGGUGUGUUUGAGGUUCUAACCUUGGCCCGUUAUCCGGGUUGGGGACAGUGUAUGGUGGGCAGUUUGACUGGGGCGGUCUCCUCCCAAAGUGUAACGGAGGAGUUCGAAGGUACGCUAAAUACGGUCGGAAAUCGUGUUGAUAGUGCAUUGGCAUAAGCGUGCUUGACUGCGAGACUGACAAGUCGAGCAGGUACGAAAGUAGGACAAAGUGAUCCGGUGGUUCUGUAUGGAAGGGCCAUCGCUCAACGGAUAAAAGGUACUCUGGGGAUAACAGGCUGAUACCGCCCAAGAGUUCAUAUCGACGGCGGUGUUUGGCACCUCGAUGUCGGCUCAUCUCAUCCUGGGCUGUAGCCGGUCCCAAGGGUAUGGCUGUUCGCCAUUUAAAGAGGUACGUGAGCUGGGUUUAAAACGUCGUGAGACAGUUUGGUCCCUAUCUUCCGUGGGCGCUGCAAGAUUGAGAGAGCCUGCUCCUAGUACGAGAGGACCGGAGUGGACGCACCUCUGGUGUAUCGGUUGUCACGCCAGUGGCAUUGCCGAGUAGCUAAGUGCGGAAGAGAUAACCGCUGAAAGCAUCUAAGCGGGAAACUCGUCUCAAGAUGAGUCUUGCCGGGGCCUUGAGCCCCCUGAAGAGUCGUUCGAGACCAGGACGUUGAUAGGUCGGGUGUGGAAGCGCAGUAAUGCGUUGAGCUAACCGAUACUAAUUGCUCGUGAGGCUUGACCCG
rnacentral:rRNA from 1 species